rnacentral:misc_RNA from 1 species
GAUGAAGAACGUAGCGAAAUGCGAUAAGUAAUGUGAAUUGCAGAAUCCAGUGAAUCAUCGAAUCUUUGAACGCACAUUGCGCCCCUUGGUAUCCCGAGGGGCAUGCCUGUUCGAGCGUCAUUUCACCACUCAAGCCUGGCUUGGUGUUGGGCGACGUCCUCUUUGGGGACGCGCCUCGAAACGCUCGGCGGCGUGGCACCGGCUUUAAGCGUAGCAGAAUCUUUCGCUUUGGAAGUCGGGGCCCCGUCUGCCGGAAGACCUGCUCGCAAGGUUGACCUCGGAUCAGGCAGGGAUACCCGCUGAACUUAAGCAUAUCAAUAAGCGGAGGA